rnacentral:rRNA from 1 species
UACGGGGGGGGCAAGCGUUGUUCGGAAUUACUGGGCGUAAAGGGCGCGUAGGCGGUUCGUUAAGUCCUGUGUGAAAUCCCCCGGCUCAACUGGGGAACUGCACAGGAAACUAGCGGGCUUGAGUUCGGGAGAGGGAAGCGGAGUUCCGGGUGUAGCGGUGAAAUGCGUAGAUAUCCGGAGGAACACCGGUGGCGAAGGCGGCUUCCUGGACCGACACUGACGCUGAGGCGCGAAAGCUAGGGGAGCAAACGGG